rnacentral:rRNA from 1 species
GAUGAACGCUGGCGGCGUGCCUAAUACAUGCAAGUCGAGCGAACAGACGAGGAGCUUGCUCCUCUGACGUUAGCGGCGGACGGGUGAGUAACACGUGUAUAACCUACCUAUAAGACUGGGAUAACUUCGGGAAACCGGAGCUAAUACCGGAUAAUAUAUUGAACCGCAUGGUUCAAUAGUGAAAGACGGUUUUGCUGUCACUUAUAGAUGGAUCCGCGCCGCAUUAGCUAGUUGGUAAGGUAACGGGUUACCAAGGUAACGAUGCGUAGCCGACCUGAGAGGGUGAUCGGCCACACUGGAACUGAGACACGGUCCAGACUCCUACGGGAGGCAGCAGUAGGGAAUCUUCCGCAAUGGGCGAAAGCCUGACGGAGCAACGCCGCGUGAGUGAUGAAGGUCUUCGGAUCGUAAAACUCUGUUAUUAGGGAAGAACAAAUGUGUAAGUAACUAUGCACGUCUUGACGGUACCUAAUCAGAAAGCCACGGCUAACUACGUG